rnacentral:rRNA from 1 species
AUUGAACGCUGGCGGCAGGCCUAACACAUGCAAGUCGAGCGGAGCGGCGGACGGGUGAGUAUUGCCUAGGAAUCUGCCUCGUAGUGGUGGAUAACGUCCGGUAACGGGCGCUAUUAUCGCAUCCUAUCAGAUUAGCCUAGGUCGGAGUAGCUUGUUGGUGGGGUAAAGGUCUACCAAGGCGACGAUCCGUAACUGGUCUGAGAGGAUGAUCAGUCACACUGGAACUGAGACACGGUCCAGACUCCUACGGGAGGCAGCAGUGGGGAAUAUUGGACAAUGGGCGCAAGCCUGAUCCAGCCAUGCCGCGUGUGUGAAGAAGGUCUUCGGAUUGUAAAGCACUUUAAGUUGGGAGGCGUUACCAACAGAAUAAGCACCGGCUAACUUCGUGCCAGCCGCCGCGGUAAUUC